rnacentral:rRNA from 1 species
GACGAACGCUGGCGGCGUGCUUAACACAGGCAAGUCGAACGGUAAGGCCCUUCGGGGUACACGAGUGGCGAACGGGUGAGUAACAUGUGGGUGAUCUGCCCUGCACUUCGGGAUAAGCCUGGGAAACUGGGUCUAAUACCGGAUAGGACCACUGCCUGCAUGGGUGGUGGUGGAAAGCUUUUGCGGUGUGGGAUGGGCCCGCGGCCUAUCAGCUUGUUGGUGGGGUGAUGGCCUACCAAGGCGACGACGGGUAGCCGGCCUGAGAGGGUGACCGGCCACACUGGGACUGAGAUACGGCCCAGACUCCUACGGGAGGCAGCAGUGGGGAAUAUUGCACAAUGGGCGCAAGCCUGAUGCAGCGACGCCGCGUGAGGGAUGACGGCCUUCGGGUUGUAAACCUCUUUCAGCACCGACGAAGCGCAAGUGACGGUAGGUGCAGAAGAAGGACCGGCCAACUACGUGCCAGCAGCCGCGGUAA